UACGUAGGGUGCGAGCGUUAAUCGGAAUUACUGGGCGUAAAGCGUGCGCAGGCGGUUUUGCAAGCCGGAUGUGAAAUCCCCGGGCUCAACCUGGGAAUGGCAUUCGGGACUGCAAGGCUGGAGUGCGGCAGAGGAGACUGGAAUUCCUGGUGUAGCAGUGAAAUGCGCAGAUAUCAGGAGGAACACCAGCGGCGAAGGCGGCGCUCUGGGCCGGUACUGACGCUGAGGAGCGAAAGCGUGGGGAGCAAACAGG
rnacentral:rRNA from 1 species